CUAAGAAUCUUGCGCAAUGGGCGAAAGCCUGACGCAGCAAUUCCGCGUGGGGGACGAAGGCCCUCGGGUCGUAAACCCCUUUUACGAGGGAAGAAGUUCUGACGGUACCUCGUGAAUAAGCCACGGCUAACUACGUGCCAGCAGCCGCGGUAAUACGUAGGUGGCGAGCGUUGUCCGGAUUUAUUGGGCGUAAAGAGCCCGCAGGCGGCUUGGUAAGUUUCAGGUGAAAUCUCCCGGCUUAACUGGGAGGGUGCCUGGAAAACUAUCAGGCUUGAGGCAGGGAGAGGGAUGUGGAAUUCCCGGUGUAGUGGUGAAAUGCGUAGAUAUCGGGGGGAACACCAGUGGCGAAGGCGGCAUCCUGGCCCUGUCCUGACGCUCAGGGGCGAAAGCGUGGGGAGCAAACC
rnacentral:rRNA from 1 species